rnacentral:rRNA from 1 species
UAAAUUACUAAGAGUAUUUGGUGGAUGCCUUGGUAUUAGCAGGCGAUGAAAGACGUGGUAGGCUGCGAAAAGUUGCGGGGAGUUGUCAACAAACUUUGAUCCGCGAAUGUCUGAAUGGGGUAACCCACUCCGCAAGGAGUAUUGCAAACUGAAUUCAUAGGUUUGUAAAGCAAAACCUAGGGAACUGAAAUAUCUAAGUACCUAGAGGAAAAGAAAUCAACCGAGAUUCCGUAAGUAGUGACGAGCGAACGCGGAACAGCCCAGUAGUACACAGAUAAGAACUCAAAUUGUAUGGAAAGGCAAUCGACACAGGGUGAUAGACCCGUAGAGGUAGAAAGUUUGUGUAUUCUUGAGUAAACCGGGACACGUGAAAUCCCGAUUGAAUAUGGGGGGACCUCCCUCCAAGGCUAAAUACUAGCUAAUGACCGAUAGUGAACAAGUACCGUGAGGGAAAGGUGAAAAGAACCCCGAUAAGGGGAGUGAAAUAGAUCCUGAAACCAAAUACUUACAACCAGUCAGAGCCUGAGGCAACUCGGGUGAUGGCGUACCUUUUGCAUAAUGAGCCAGCGAGUUAUUGUAUCAGGCGAGCUUAAGUCGAUUAUGAUGUAGGCGUAGCGAAAGCGAGUUUUAAAAGAGCGUUUAGUCUGGUGCAAUAGACCCGAAACCAAUGCGAGCUAUUCAUGACCAGGUUGAAGGUGGAAUAAACCCCACUGGAGGACCGAACUAGUUACUGUUGAAAAAGUAUUGGAUGAGUUGUGAAUAGGAGUGAAAGGCUAAUCAAGCUUGGACAUAGCUGGUUCUCCGCGAAAACUAUAUAGGUAGUGCGUCAUGUGUUUCUCAUCGGGGGUAGAGCUACUGAGUGGGUGCGGGGGAGCAAGUCUCCUACCAAUCUCAACCAAACUCCGAAUACCGAUGAAUUAAGCAUGGCAGACAGACGGUGGGUGAAAACAUCCAUCGUCGAGAGGGAUAAAAACCCAGAUCGUCGUAUAAGGUCCCCAAAUUGUAGCUAAGUGGAAAAGGAAGUGAGGAGGCCAAAACAGCUAGGAUGUUGGCUUAGAAGCAGCCAUCAUUUAAAGAAAGCGUAACAGCUCACUAGUCUAAUAGCCUUCUUGCGCCGAAGAUGUAACGGGGCUAAAGCUACAUACCGAAGACACGAGAUUAAAGCAAUUUAAUCAGUAGCGGAGCGUUCUGUAAGCCUGCGAAGGCACCUGGUGAUGGGUGCUGGAGGUAUCAGAAGUGUUGAUGCUGGCAUAAGUAACGAUAAGGGGCACGAGAAUUGCCCCCACCAUAAACUCAAGGUUUCCUGCGCCAUGGUAAUCAGCGUAGGGUUAGUCGGGUCCUAAGAUCAAGCCCAAAGGCGUAGUCGAUGGCAAUCAGGUUAAUAUUCCUGAACCUGCUAGAAAGUGACGGAUUGAAAUCGUCGUAAGUGGUUAUUAGAUUCCGCUUGCGUAGAAAUCGGUUCCAGGAAAUAGCUCUAGCGUACAGCCCGUACCGUAAACCGACACAGGUGAGUGAGUAGAAUAUACUAAGGUGUUUGAGAUAAGUAUUCUGAAGGAACUAGGCAAAUUGCAUCCGUAACUUCGGGAGAAGGAUGGCCUACAUAUACGCAAGUACUUGUAGGUGGCACAGAAAUGGGGGUGGCGACUGUUUACUUAAAACACAGGGCACUGCAAACCUGAAUAAGGGGAAGUAUAGUGUCUGACGCCUGCCCGGUGCUGGAAGAUUAACAGGAGAUGUGCAAGCAUUGAAUCGAAGUCCCAGUAAACGGCGGCCGUAACUAUGACGGUCCUAAGGUAGCGAAAUUCCUUGUCGGGUAAGUUCCGACCUGCAUGAAUGGCGUAACGAUCUCCCCACUGUCUCCAGAAUAUUCUCAGUGAAAUUGGAUUGGCCGUGAAGAUACGGUCCACCCGCAGUUAGACGGAAAGACCCUAUGAACCUUUACUAUAGCUUUACAAUGAUAUUAAAAAUUAAAUGUGUAGGAUAGAUGGGAGACUUGGAAGUUGCGACGCUAGUCGUGAUGGAGUCGUCGUUGAAAUACCAUUCUUUUGAUUUUUGAUAUCUAACCAAGAUCCGUAAAAGUGGAUCUGGGACAUUGUAUGGUGGGUAGUUUGACUGGGGCGGUCGCCUCCUAAAGAGUAACGGAGGCGUUCAAAGAUUGGCUCAGGUGGGAUUAAGCCACUGUUGGAGUGUAAUAGCAUAAGCCAAUUUGACUGCAAGACUGACAAGUCGAGCAGGGACGAAAGUCGGAUAUAGUGAUCUGGUGCUUCUGCGAGGAAGGGGCAUCACUCAACGGAUAAAAGGUACUCUAGGGAUAACAGGCUGAUAGUGUCUAAGCGCCCAAAGCGACGACACUGUUUGGCACCUCGAUGUCGACUCAUCACAUCCCGGGGCUGAAGAAGGUCCCAAGGGUCCGGCUGUUCGCCGGUUAAAGUGGUACGUGAGUUGGGUUUAAAACGUCGUGAGACAGUUUGGUCCCUAUCUGCUGUGGGCGUCAGGAAGAUUGAGCGGGGUCGACUCUAGUACGAGAGGACCGAGUUGAAUAUGCCAAUGGUGCACCAGUUGUCCUGCUAAGGGCAUAGCUGGGUAGCUACGCAUAGAAAAGAUAAACGCUGAAAGCAUAUAAGCGUGAAACUUGCCGCAAGAUGAUUCUUCCCAAUUAGGGACGUGGAAGACCACCACGUUGAUAGGAUGGGUGUGUAAGACUGGUAACAGUUUCAGCUAACCAUUACUAAUUCCCGAUUGAUUU